GAUGAACGCUGGCGGCGUGCUUAACACAUGCAAGUCGAACGGAAAGGCUCCUGCUUGCAGGGGUACUCGAGUGGCGAACGGGUGAGUAACACGUGGGUGAUCUGCCCUGCACUUCGGGAUAAGCCUGGGAAACUGGGUCUAAUACCGGAUAGGACGAUGGUUUGGAUGCCAUUGUGGAAAGUUUUUCGGUGUGGGAUGAGCUCGGGGCCUAUCAGCUUGUUGGUGGGGUAAUGGCCUACCAAGGCGUCGACGGGUAGCCGGCCUGAGAGGGUGUACGGCCACAUUGGGACUGAGAUACGGCCCAGACUCCUACGGGAGGCAGCAGUGGGGAAUAUUGCACAAUGGGCGCAAGCCUGAUGCAGCGACGCCGCGUGGGGGAUGACGGCCUUCGGGGUGUAAACUCCUUUCGCUAGGGACGAAGCGCAAGUGACGGUACCUGGAGAAGAAGCACCGGCUAACUACGUG
rnacentral:rRNA from 1 species